rnacentral:rRNA from 1 species
UACAGAGGGCCCAAGCGUUGUUCGGAUUCAUUGGGCGUAAAGGGCGCGUAGGCGGCGCGGUAAGUCGGGGGUGAAAUCUCGGGGCUUAACUCCGGAACUGCAUUCGAUACUGCCGUGCUUGAGGACUGGAGAGGAGACUGGAAUUUCCGGUGUAGCGGUGAAAUGCGUAGAGAUCGGAAAGAACACCAGCGGCGAAGGCGCUCUGCUGGGCCGACACUGACGCUGAGAGGCGAAAGCUUGGGGAGCGAAUAGG